AUCUGUCUGCUCAGUGAGUGGGAGGGCUGGUACCUUCUCUUGUUUCUGAGACCCAGGUAGCAAAGGAGUUUGAGUUUGCAGUUGGAAUCAAAGGCUCUCCAACAAGGAAACAACUAAUAAUCAUGGUAAAAUAAAGUCAGUGAAAUAAAAACUGAAAGAAGCUGCCACCAAGAGACCUGCACUAAAGGAAAUUCUGACAGAUAUUCUUUGGGUAAAGAGAAGAUCCCAGAUGAAAGCUUGGAGAUGAAGGAAAAAUUGAAGAGGAAUGAAAAUGGAAACAACACAGGUGUGUUCCUGCAAGACCUCUCUUUCCCUAGGGGAAAACAGAGACAUCUCAUCACAGAUAGCUCUAGGUUUGCCUUGGCCAUGAUGUCCAAGUGGUCUGCUUGGUUCCAUGCCUGCGUCUGAGCUGGCUCUGUGGGAGGUGCCAAGCUGCCUUCGACACUGUGCAUGGCACUUUAAAGCUCUCAAUAAAUAUUUUUCAAGUGAAGUCAAUGAAGCAAGAAAGAAUCUCAACUAGUUUUGAGUUUUGGUUGAAGAGAAGGCUCACAGAGGCUCAGGGAAGCCCUCAGGUUUCAUGGGGACAGCCUGAAGAAUGACCUUCAUAUAAUGGCCACACAGCCACUUGGGCCACCGGAGCUCACCGUGAGACACACUCACCAUCUCGUCUUCAUGUCUGGUACGUCAGCUAUCUUGGUGUGUGGGGAUGUGGCAGACAUGGUGGGAGAGGCUCUGUGAUCCUCAUUUACUUUACCAUAGACUUCUGUCCUUUUACCAAUAUUUUGUCUUUUUAUCCUGGUGUUUCUUAUUCAAUAGUAUAUCAAAUUCUUUCACGUAUGAAUUGUCUCACACUAGUGGGAAAGGCUGGUCUUUGGAAACAGUACUGGUUUCAAAUCCCAGCUCUGCCAUUUUAUUUGUUGUAUAACAAAUCACUGUCUUGGAAUCUAGUUUCAUCAUCUGUAAAAAGGCACCUUGAAGAUCUGCCUUACUGGGAGGUGAAGAAUCUCAAAUGAGAGCUUGUAUUUCCAUAAACACAGCUGUAAAUGCAUCUCUUUCACCAUGGGACUGAGCUACUGCUCUGAGCAGAAGGGUGCUCAUGGCUUGGCUUAGAAGGGUUUCUCUCCUUGGUUACACCAAUUUCAUUCAUUGUUGAAAUUUAAUCAAUUAAUUUAACAACUAUUCAUUGGCCCUCUGCCAAGCACUGGGGCCCUCUGUCCCUGAUCUCUUGAGUGCCCCCUCUACCACAACACCACCCCUGAGCACAUGAGGCCUUGUUGCUUUCUCUCUUUUUAAAAUAUCCAUUACACUUCUAAGGCUCACUUUUGGCACGUUUACGUCUCAUACUGUUAUGCUGCUGUGAAGUGAUCUCCAAUUCAAAGUUGCUUUUCUCUCCAUAGUACAAGUGAUAGAUUAUUUAAUGGUAGGUAUGUCAAUUAAGACUCGCCAAGUAGGACCGGGAAAGCCUUACAGUAGAGGCGCAAUUCUGCACAGCAUCAUCAGUUUGUAGGCAAUGACCCUGACAGCAUUCUUGGUAGCUGAGGGAAGAAAAGGCCCUUGAGUACUGAAGGGGAAACUGGAUUUCAGCUCCUCCUGGAUAGUGUCCCUUCCAAUGGACUGCCACAGGUGAGUCCCACUGCGAUAACCCAACCAUUGGGAAGAGAUACACAAUAUGUUUACACUCUCCACUGGUAAAACAACAACAUUGAGAUGUUCUCUGGCCACGCAGUUGCUCUGGCUUAGAGGCCAGAAAGACAGCAGUGCCAGGUUCUGUCAGAGUUUCCUGAGUCCACUUCCUGAUAAAGCCACUGGGGACUGAUAAAAAAACAGCUCUGUAAUAAAUGUCUGUCACUUAUUUAUGUUGGCUAAGAGGGUUGGUCUUUUGUUUGGCAGUAUCAGGGUGAUGUGGACAAGCUGAAACUUGCUGUGGCAUUUUACAUGUGAGAUUUGCUUUCCAAGGGGGGCUGGAGAUCUGUCUCAAAAAUCCAUGCACAGAGAUUUAAAAGUCUGAUUGUACCUUGUGGGGGCCCAGUGGGCACUCUCACACACUGCUGGCAGCAGUGGAAACUGGUAUGGCUCUUUUGGAGAUGAAGUUGGCAUCCACUGAAAUCAAAAUUGGCAUUCCCUUUAACCCAUCAAUUUAGCUUCUUGAAAAGAAGGUGAAUCUUCUUUCUUACAGAAAUGCUUGUACAAAGUACACAAGGACAUUUGUACCAAAAAUAUUCAUUUCAGGACUCUUUGUAAUGAUUUCAAACUAGAAGCAAUCUGAACUUCCCCCAGCAAAAGGGCACUUAUCAUAUAAAAUGUCUACACAGUCACCAUCUCCACAGCCUUGAGCAAUGGAGGUUCUACACCCUGUGGCAGGGGACCCCUUUUUCCUUAGAUGCACCAGGAAAAAUGCAGCUCCAACCUGGGCUUCCAUCUCUGCCCAGAGACUCACCCAAACAGCUGGUAUCCCGAGGGAAACGUGAGCUCCCAGGACAAGGAAAGGGGACAUCCCAGGAGAGCAAAUACCAUAAAAGAAGGACAACAAACUGAACAACCUACAGUCGAUAAUUUUUUCUUUGAGACAGAGUCUCUCUCUGUCACCCAGGCUGGA
rnacentral:lncRNA from 1 species